GGAGAAGGAGAGAGGAAGGGGGCCUGCUCAGAGUUUUGGAAGGAAAACCAAACUGGAGACAAAGGAUGCAAGAGAGAAGAAGAUGCUGACAGAGCAGGUCCCAGGGCCUCAGGGGGUCAAAGGUCAGGAGGGAACAAUCAACUCUGAUCUAAAAGGUCAGCAAGAAAACAUGGGCAGAAGAUUCUGAUUGGACAAACUGCCACCACUGCUUGGAUGUGGUGGUGUGCAUGUGGCAAAGUGCAUGAGAAUGGGAGAGCCGCCUGCACAUCUCCAACCAUCUGUAGGCCUGCGAUCGACACUUCCACACCAACACAAAGGGAUGGGUUCAAUCAGCAGCAGAUCUUUUGGCAACAAUAUUUUACAUGCAAAAAUGCAUGUUUCCAUCUUAAAGGGUUUGUCCAUUUACUAUGAUUAACUGCUUUAUGCAAGGUUUAAUUAACUCUGGGAUUAUAUGAGAAGACACUUAUGAUAAUGAUGUCUUAUUGGUUCAUAGUUAUGCCCACUCUGGGAAUACUGAUGAACAGUAGUCUGGGGCUAACUAAGCCUGGCCUGUGGUUCAAAUGCACCACAUAAUAUUCCAUGAAUGUUUUUUUCCAUUGUUCCUAAUAGAUAGAUACAAAUAAAUAUAAACAAAUACUUCA